UGGGGAAUAUUGCGCAAUGGGGGAAACCCUGACGCAGCAACGCCGCGUGGGUGAUGAAGGCCUUCGGGGUGUAAACCACUGUCAGGAGGGAAGAACGGCGCCGGUUCGAACAGUUCCGGCGAUUGACGGUACCUCCAAAGGAAGCGCCGGCUAACUCCGUGCCAGCAGCCGCGGUAAGACGGAGGGCGCAAGCGUUGUUCGGAAUUACUGGGCGUAAAGCGCGGGCAGGCGGUCUGUUAAGUCGUUUGUGAAAAUCCGGGGCUCAACCCCGGAAAUGCAUACGAUACUGGCAGGCUGGAGACUGGUAGAGGCUAGCGGAAUUCCUGGUGUAGCGGUGGAAUGCGUAGAUAUCAGGAAGAACACCUGUGGCGAAGGCGGCUAGCUGGGCCAGUUCUGACGCUGAUCCGCGAAAGCGUGGGGAGCAAACAGGAUUAGAUACCCCUGUAGUCCCUGAGCGGGCUGGCAAGGCGCAU
rnacentral:rRNA from 1 species